rnacentral:sRNA from 1 species
AGAUACCAGGGGCAAAAGGUUAUAAAACACGUUGUGCUUGCACAUAAGUGUUUUAUAACCUUUAUGACCCGCCCAAAUAUGAGGAUAAAAGUAGGACGACGCCCCACGAUAUCCGAAUUUGGGGCAGAAUUGUGAGGUGCUGCGUGCCAGUGGCACGCGUUUAGCACCGACCGAAGUGAAACGUAGAUGCGGAGCACGAAACAAUUUGUCAGGUAUCU